rnacentral:rRNA from 1 species
GUAGUUAGCCGUGGCUUAUUCAUGAGGUACCGUCAUUUGUUUCUUCCCUCAUAAAAGAAGUUUACAACCCGAAGGCCUUCUUCCUUCACGCGGCGUUGCUGGGUCAGGCUUUCGCCCAUUGCCCAAUAUUCCCCACUGCUGCCUCCCGUAGGAGUCUGGACCGUUUCUCAGUUCCAAUGUGGCCGGUCAUCCUCUCAGAUCGGCUACCCAUCGUUGACUUGGUGGGCCGUUACCUCACCAACUAUCUAAUGGGACGCGAGCUCACCCUUGUGCGGAUUUCUCCUUUUACCUCGAUACCAUGUGGUAUCGUGGUCUCGUGCGGUAUUAGCAACUGUUUCCAGUUGUUAUCCCCCUCACAAGGACAGAUUGCUCACGCGUUACGCACCCGUCCGCCACUAAGCUUACUUCGAUUGCUCUCUAUAAGCUCCGUUCGACUUGCAUGUGUUAAGCACGCCGCCAGCGUUCGUCCUGAGCCAUGAUCAAACUCUGA